rnacentral:rRNA from 1 species
GUCCUACGGGACGCAGCAGUGAGGAAUAUUGGUCAAUGGGCGGGAGCCUGAACCAGCCAAGCCGCGUGAAGGAAGAAGGCGCCAGGCGUCGUAAACUUCUUUUGUCGGGGAACAAAGGGCGCCACGCGUGGCGUUGUGAGUGUACCCGAAGAAAAAGCAUCGGCUAACUCCGUGCCAGCAGCCGCGGUAAUACGUAGGGAGCAAGCGUUAUCCGGAAUUAUUGGGUGUAAAGGGUGCGUAGACGGGACAGCAAGUUAGUUGUGAAAGCCCUCGGCUUAACUGAGGAACUGCAACUAAAACUAUUG